UAGAUACCCUGGUAGUCCACGCCGUAAACGAUGAUAACUAGCUGUCCGGGGACUUGGUCUUUGGGUGGCGCAGCUAACGCAUUAAGUUAUCCGCCUGGGGAGUACGGUCGCAAGAUUAAAACUCAAAGGAAUUGACGGGGGCCUGCACAAGCGGUGGAGCAUGUGGUUUAAUUCGAAGCAACGCGCAGAACCUUACCAGCGUUUGACAUGUCCGGACGACUUCGAGAGAUCGAUUUCUUCCCUUCGGGGA
rnacentral:rRNA from 1 species